UACGUAGGUGGCGAGCGUUGUCCGGAUUUACUGGGCGUAAAGGAUGCGUAGGUGGAUGUUUAAGUCAGAUGUGAAAUACCCGAGCUUAACUUGGGUGCUGCAUUUGAAACUGGAUAUCUAGAGUGCAGGAGAGGUAAGUGGAAUUCCUAGUGUAGCGGUGAAAUGCGUAGAGAUUAGGAAGAACACCAGUGGCGAAGGCGGCACUCUGGGCCGGAACUGACGCUGAGGAGCGAAAGCGUGGGGAGCAAACAGG
rnacentral:rRNA from 1 species